GACGAACGCUGGCGGCGUGCUUAACACAUGCAAGUCGAACGCUGAAGCUCAGCUUUUGUUGGGUGGAUGAGUGGCGAACGGGUGAGUAACACGUGAGUAACCUGCCCCCUUCUUUGGGAUAACGCCCGGAAACGGGUGCUAAUACUGGAUAUUCACUGGUCUUCGCAUGGGGGUUGGUGGAAAGGGUUUUUCUGGUGGGGGAUGGGCUCGCGGCCUAUCAGCUUGUUGGUGGGGUGAUGGCCUACCAAGGCUUUGACGGGUAGCCGGCCUGAGAGGGUGACCGGUCACAUUGGGACUGAGAUACGGCCCAGACUCCUACGGGAGGCAGCAGUGGGGAAUAUUGCACAAUGGGCGCAAGCCUGAAGCAGCGACGCCGCGUGAGGGAUGGAGGCCUUCGGGUUGUGAACCUCUUUCGCUCAUGGUCAAGCCGCAACAAUGGUUGUGGUGAGGGUAGUGGGUAAAGAAGCGCCGGCUAACUACGUG
rnacentral:rRNA from 1 species